rnacentral:rRNA from 1 species
UACGUAGGGUGCAAGCGUUGUCCGGAAUUAUUGGGCGUAAAGAGCUCGUAGGCGGUUUGUCGCGUCUGCUGUGAAAACUCGGGGCUUAACUCCGGGCCUGCAGUGGGUACGGGCAGACUAGAGUGCGGUAGGGGAGACUGGAAUUCCUGGUGUAGCGGUGAAAUGCGCAGAUAUCAGGAGGAACACCGGUGGCGAAGGCGGCUCACUGGUCCAUUACUGACGCUGAGGUGCGAAAGCGUGGGGAGCAAACAGG